GAUGAAGAACGCAGCGAAACGCGAUACGUAAUGUGAAUUGCAGAAUUCAGUGAAUCAUCGAAUCUUUGAACGCACAUUGCGCCCCUUGGUAUUCCAUGGGGCAUGCCUGUUCGAGCGUCAUUUGUACCUUCAAGCUUUGCUUGGUGUUGGGUGUUUGUCUCGCCUCCGCGUGUAGACUCGCCUCAAAACAAUUGGCAGCCGGCGUAUUGAUUUCGGAGCGCAGUACAUCUCGCGCUUUGCACUCACAACGACGACGUCCAAAAGUACAUUUUUACACUCUUGACCUCGGAUCAGGUAGGGAUACCCGCUGAACUUAAGCAUAUCAAUAAGCGGAGGA
rnacentral:misc_RNA from 1 species